ensembl:lncRNA
AUGGAAGGGCUGGUGCAGCUCGGUCUGAUCUUCUUGCUGACCUGCACCCUCCACGCCUUCCCGCCGGAGAUGGACGACGGCCGCGCUGUGGACCAGGCCGCCGAUGGGCUUCCCGAACUCGGGGACAGGAGGGGACAAGAGCGUGCCACCUUCACCCCGAUGGGCGAUGUGAGGGGGAGCCUGAAGAAGAAGGGGAGGGCAGGACACACGUCUCUAAUCGCCGGUGCUGCAGUGCUCCCAAAGCCACCCGCUGUCACCAACACCCCUGAUGGCCAGCAGGAGGUGAUGAGACAGAAGCGACAGCUGCAGAACAACAAGAAGACCAAGGCGAAGAAGGGCCGCCCCGGAGGAAUGUCUCCUUUAGGGUCCGUUCGGAACCCGGGCGGCUGAAGAUGAAGAUCGUCUCCACGCUGCUUCUCUGUACUCAGCACGCAGCCCACAUGUAACCACAGCCAGCUUUCUGUAUCCGAGAACCUGCAAAAUAAAUGCUGGAACAUCUGACCACGAGGCCUUCCACAACACGCUCACACUCACACACACGUAUUUCAACCAGGCAGAUGCAGAAGAAUCGCAGGUUGACCUUGCAGCUCCACCCUUCACCACCUCGUGGCAGCAGAUCCUAACUUGGACAUCUUAGUUCACUUUUCCUUCCAUUGAUGUGACCUUUUUUAAAUGUGGGGCAGAUAAGACCCUUCGUGCCAGAUAAGCGCUUUUUAGAGCUCCAGGGUGCUCCAGGGUAAACAUGACAUGAGAGUUGGUGAAAUGUGAUGUUCUGCAUCUCAGCUCUUGGUUUAUAGCCGCGCAGUGAAACAAUAAAACUUACCCAGCAACGUGUGUGAAGGUUCUCAGUCACCCGGGUGAACUUGUCUGAAGGUUGUGAGUCGUGCCAACUGGACGUUUCCUUCUGCAUCCACAGAACUUUGUCCGCCUGAGGGAAGUUGGCUUGUGACCACCUCUCUGACAAAGUUCUGGUGGGUGCAGAAGGAAACGUCCAGACUUCGCAGGCGACGCAAAACGAGAAGGAAGGAGACGGAAUAACCGCGAAUGUCGUGCCGUUUCUCGUCCCUCCUGACCGCAGCAUGAUGUUCUCGCUAUUCUGCAAAUAAACGCGUCUUCUGCAUUUUUCUGGAAGGAAUGUGUGUCCGUGUGAGACUUCCGUUUUUUCUUGAUUACGUUACAUAAACCUCCCAGAUGAAGGGAGAAGGCCGGGGCAAAUGGGACGGAAUUCCGGAACAUUCCUGCACCGCACACGCGGCUCGCUGUUGUCCCGUGAAGAACAAUUUUCCUGAGGGAACCACCUUCUCCAGCGUGGCUGUGUGUGUGUGUGUGUGUGUGUGUGUGUGUUAAUUGAGUCAGCGUUCUCUCUUGUCCCUCCCACACACACACACACACACACACACGCACUGCUGGGAGCUCUGGUGGAACCUCUGGAUGUGAUUCAGAUGAUCCGAGGGAGUCUUCAGCAGCAGAGGAACGUCAAGGCGCUCAGGUAAAACACCCGAACUUCUCUAGCAUCUGGUGAGCCUCGAAUUACAUUUACAUUUACAGCAUUUAUCAGACGCCCUUAUCCAGAGCAACUUACAACCAGUAGUAACAGGGGACAGUCAGACAAUGGUAGUAAGUGGGAUUUGAACCCGAGUCUUCUGGUUCACAGGCGAGUGUGUUACCCGCUAGGCUACUACCAGCCUAUUAAACUCACUAGAUGACUCCGUCGGUCUCGAUCUCGGUAUUUACGCACUUCUGCUUGUCCCCUUCUGUCACCUGGACAAGAAUAUAGAAGCAUCUUUAGCCGGAGAGGG